AGCGUUAUCCGGAUUUACUGGGUGUAAAGGGAGCGUAGGUGGUAUGGUAAGUCAGGUGUGAAAGCCCGGGGCUCAACUCCGGGAUUUGCAUUUGAAACUACCAGACUAGAGUGCAGGAGAGGUAAGUGGAAUUCCUAGUGUAGCGGUGAAAUGCGUAGAUAUUAGGGGAACACCAGUGGCGAAGGCGGCUUACUGGACUGUAACUGACACUGAGGCUCGAAAGCGUGGGGAGC
rnacentral:rRNA from 1 species